rnacentral:rRNA from 1 species
AAAGUUCCCUUCGGGGAGCAAGUAGAGUGGCGCACGGGUGAGUAACACGUAGGUAAUCUACCUUUGGAUGGGGAAUAACAACCGGAAACGGUUGCUAAUACCGCAUAAUGCAGCGGCGCCUAAUGGUGACAGUUGUUAAAGCGGGGGAUCGCAAGACCUCGCGUCUAAAGAGGAGCCUGCGGCGGAUUAGCUAGUUGGUAGGGUAAUGGCCUACCAAGGCAACGAUCCGUAGCCGGCCUGAGAGGGCGGUCGGCCACACUGACACUGACAUACGGGUCAGACUCCUACGGGAGGCAGCAGUCGGGAAUUUUGGGCAAUGGGCGAAAGCCUGACCCAGCAACGCCGCGUGAAGGAUGAAAUCCCUCGGGAUGUAAACUUCGCAAGAACAGGAAGAAUAAGUAAGGGUUAAUAUCUCUUACGAUGACGGUACUGUUUGUAAGCUCCGGCUAACUCCGUGCCAGCAGCCGCGGUAAUACGGGGGGAGCAAGCGUUGUUCGGAUUUACUGGGCGUAAAGGGCGCGUAGGCGGCCACCGCAAGUCGAUUGUGAAAUCUCCGGGCUUAACCCGGAAAGGUCAACCGAUACUGCGGGGCUAGAGUGCAGAAGGGGCAACUGGAAUUCUCGGUGUAGCGGUGAAAUGCGUAGAUAUCGAGAGGAACACCUGCGGCGAAGGCGGGUUGCUGGGCUGACACUGACGCUGAAGUGCGAAAGCUAGGGGAGCGAACGGGAUUAGAUACCCCGGUAGUCCUAGCCUUAAACGAUGAAUGCUUGGUGUCUGGGGAUUUAUAGUCCCCGGGUGCCGUCGCUAACGC